CUCCUUUGACGUUAGCGGCGGACGGGUGAGUAACACGUGGGUAACCUACCUAUAAGACUGGGAUAACUUCGGGAAACCGGAGCUAAUACCGGAUAAUAUUUCGAACCGCAUGGUUCGAUAGUGAAAGGUGGGUUUUGCUAUCACUUAUAGAUGGACCCGCGCCGUAUUAGCUAGUUGGUAAGGUAACGGCUUACCAAGGCGACGAUACGUAGCCGACCUGAGAGGGUGAUCGGCCACACUGGAACUGAGACACGGUCCAGACUCCUACGGGAGGCAGCAGGU
rnacentral:rRNA from 1 species